UGUGCAUGGGCGGCGCUGAGGCGCUUCCCACCUCCCUGUUGGACUUCGGCCGAGCUUUAUGCUCGGCCUUUUUU
rnacentral:ncRNA from 1 species